rnacentral:rRNA from 1 species
GAUGAACGCGGGCGGCGUGCUUAAUACAUGCAAGUAGAACGCUGAAGCUUGGUGCUUGCACCGAGCGGAUGAGUUGCGAACGGGUGAGUAACGCGUAGGUAACCUGCCUCUUAGCGGGGGAUAACUAUUGGAAACGAUAGCUAAUACCGCAUAAAAGUCGAUAUCGCAUGAUGUUGAUUUGAAAGGUGCAAUUGCAUCACUAAGAGAUGGACCUGCGUUGUAUUAGCUAGUUGGUGAGGUAACGGCUCACCAAGGCGACGAUACAUAGCCGACCUGAGAGGGUGAUCGGCCACACUGGGACUGAGACACGGCCCAGACUCCUACGGGAGGCAGCAGUAGGGAAUCUUCGGCAAUGGGGGCAACCCUGACCGAGCAACGCCGCGUGAGUGAAGAAGGUUUUCGGAUCGUAAAGCUCUGUUGUAAGAGAAGAACGAGUGUGAGAGUGGAAAGUUCACACUGUGACG